AUACGGGGGGUGCAAGCGUUAUUCGGAUUUAUUGGGCGUAAAGGGCGCGUAGGCGGCUUGGUAAGUCAGAUGUGAAAGCCCGGGGCUUAACCCCGGAAGUGCAUUUGAAACUAUCAGGCUUGAGUAUGGGAGAGGGAAGUGGAAUUCCUGGUGUAGAGGUGAAAUUCGUAGAUAUCAGGAGUAACACCGGUGGCGAAGGCGACUUCCUGGACCAAUACUGACGCUGAGGCGCGAAGGCGUGGGGAGCAAACAGGAUUAGAUACCCCGGUAGUCC
rnacentral:rRNA from 1 species